rnacentral:lncRNA from 1 species
AGUACUGAAUUGCCAACAAUAUACCCAAAGCUAUCAUUCCUCCCCUCAGAAUUUACCGUGAGAAUCCAGCGGGGCCAGGCUGGCAUCGGGGAAGAAAAUUCCCCAGGCAAGUGGGUGAGAGAGCUGUAAAUAUUUAGUGAAUGAAUCAUACGUUGCUGUAGCAAGUCAAUUCCAGAAAGGAAGAGACAGAGAGAAGCAGAGACACAGGAAAAUCUGAAACCCUCCGUCAGUAAGUAGAACCUGUCAGCAACCAAACCCAGAGCUGUGAAGUCCAUUACGCUUCCCACACAUAAAUUUUCAAUAACUCAUGACGGCAUUACGUAGCCCUCUUACCCUCUGAUUCUCCCCGCCUCCUCGGGAGACCAGCCACAGAGCUAGGUCACAGGGGGGUUAGGAAAGUCAAGGGCUGGAAUGCGGGAGCUAUGAGAUUUCAGCCAGGACUCAAAAGGGGAAUCUAUCGCACAGGGGAAUAUCGGGGACAUCACAAUGGAGAAAAGGUUUGGAAUCAUCAACUCCAGGUAAGCCUUGGCGAAUAUUCCUAAAACAACUUUUCCAGCUACAUUUGGUCUAAAGCA